GAUGGAUAACUCAGUUGGUGAAGCAUGAGACUCUUAAUCUCAGGGCCUUGGGUUUGAGCCCCACAUUUGGGCA